AUCUGCUUUUAGUGUUUGCUGCUGGACUCCAGAGUGCUUUUGGCAGAAGCAUUCCCAUAUUUUGUUUAAAUUUAUAUGUUCCUUUGGAACUUUGGGAUUGUGGGCAAAUGUUGAAUUCCCUGCCUUGGCCCAUGAGCUGCGGUAGCUAGAGCUCUGCCUCUAAUUUGUGCAAUAUUUAAUUAAAAGGAAUGAAGAGAGGAAAUUUUUUGCCCUCUUAAGUAAGUUUGUCUUGCACUUCCAGCAUUUUUUUUUACAGUGACUGGCCAUCUUGCAAAAAAACAGACAAGGAGACACAUAAUUGCAAUAGGAAUAAAUGAACUCUUCCUGUCUUCUCUGCCAGCUUUAUUCAUGGAAUGAAGCUGUCUCAGUAAAAUGAAUGAAAAUUCUUCCACGCAACUGGAAGUGCAGAAGUCUCAUCCACAGCCUGUUUGGAGAUGUAACCAGACAUACAAUGAAAGCAGCAUUAGUGCUGUCCAUUGAACACAAUACGUCUGGAAAUGAAACUGAGCCCAUUUCCAUCUCAGGUCUCUAGUGCUGUUAAUGGCUCUUUAAGUAAA